UACAACCUCUGUGGAAUUUCUUAAACCUUAACCUAAAUUUAGGCAUCUUAUAUAUGCUACUCUAGAACCAGCCCCAAAUCCCAACAGUCUAAUUUUCAACCCCACUGGGAUCCUUAAUCUUGGUCUCAUUAACAUAAGGUCAUUGCCCUCAAAAUCUCUGUUGAUUAAUGAUGUAA